ACAAGCUGUGGGAGAUCAUGCGUGAUCUCACACCUGGCCAACCUUGUUAAUCUUAACUAUGUUGCUUUGGUGGGUUGCUGCUCACCAAGGUCAUUUGAAAACUCCAGUUGUUUCUGCUGUCUGAGCAUGCAAGUGCAAAAUUUAGUUA
rnacentral:misc_RNA from 1 species